rnacentral:rRNA from 1 species
UGGGGAAUAUUGCACAAUGGGCGCAAGCCUGAUGCAGCCAUGCCGCGUGUGUGAAGAAGGCCUUCGGGUUGUAAAGCACUUUCAGCGAGGAGGAAGGUGGUGAGCUUAAUACGCUCAUCAAUUGACGUUACUCGCAGAAGAAGCACCGGCUAACUCCGUGCCAGCAGCCGCGGUAAUACGGAGGGUGCAAGCGUUAAUCGGAAUUACUGGGCGUAAAGCGCACGCAGGCGGUUUGUUAAGUCAGAUGUGAAAUCCCCGGGCUCAACCUGGGAACUGCAUUUGAAACUGGUAAGCUAGAGUCUCGUAGAGGGGGGUAGAAUUCCAGGUGUAGCGGUGAAAUGCGUAGAGAUCUGGAGGAAUACCGGUGGCGAAGGCGGCCCCCUGGACGAAGACUGACGCUCAGGUGCGAAAGCGUGGGGCAGCAAACAGGAUUAGAUACCCUGGUAGUCCACGCUGUAAACGAUGUCGAUUUUGGAGGUUGUGCCCUUGAGGCGUGGCUUCCGGAGCUAACGCGUUAAAUCGACCGCCU